rnacentral:misc_RNA from 1 species
GACGGAGGGUGCAAGCGUUGUUCGGAAUCAUUGGGCGUAAAGGGUGCGCAGGUGGUCUGGAAAGUCUGGCGUGAAAUCCCGGGGCUCAACCCCGGAACUGCGUUGGAAACUAUCAGACUUGAGUAUGGGAGAGGUCCGUGGAAUUCCAGGUGUAGGGGUGAAAUCCGUAGAGAUCUGGAGGAACACCGGCGGCGAAAGCGACGGACUGGACCAAUACUGACGCUGAGGCACGAAAGCGUGGGGAGCAAACAGG